GGUAACUAAGCUUGCAAGAAGCUCUGAAACAUCAGAUGUAGUUAUUACAUUUUCCCAUAUUCAUAAGAAGGGGGGAUUAAGAAGAGCAAGACUAAAUGCACUUUUUUCUAUGUAAAAUUAUAAGGUAACUAGCAGAUAAUUUCAAAAUAAAUUAUAAUAAUACAGUAAAAUUGGAACACUUGAAAAUGAAAAACGGAAACAAACAGAAAUAUAAAUUUUAACUCUAUUGCUCAAGGAUCCAAUCCAAAAGGGCUUACUUUCUAUGCAAAACAUUUUCUAAGAAAAUUAAUUAUAUCUUGAGCUGGUUAAUAUUUGGGCCCAUGAAGAAUAUAUUUGUGAACUUGGUUUUGAUAACAGAAUAGCAAAAGUUGUGGUGGCUAUUGACCAGUGAUGAUCGCAAUUGAUGAUGAUUGACAAAAGAACAAGUAUGUGCCUUCCCUUUCAUUAUGAGUUUGU
rnacentral:misc_RNA from 1 species